rnacentral:rRNA from 1 species
AUCGGAGUUCGAGUAAGCCAUGCGAGUCUAAAGGUUUCUUCGGAAACCUUGGCGGACUGCUCAGUAACACGUGGAUAACCUACCCUUGGGACUGGAAUAACCCCGGGAAACUGGGGAUAAUACCGGAUAGAUCAGGGAUGCUGGAAUGCACCUUGAUCCAAAGCUCCGGCGCCCAAGGAUGGGUCUGCGGCCUAUCAGGUAGUAGUGGGUGUAACAUACCUACUAGCCAACGACGGGUACGGGUUGUGAGAGCAAGAGCCCGGAGAUGGAUUCUGAGACACGAAUCCAGGCCCUACGGGGUGCAGCAGGCGCGGAACCUUUACAAUGUGCGAAAGCAUGAUAAGGGGACUCCGAGUGCCAGCAUCUAAUGCUGGCUGUCCUUGUGCCUAAACAGCACAAGAUAGCAAGGGCCGGGUAAGACCGGUGCCAGCCGCCGCGGUAACACCGGCGACCCGAGUGGUAGCCGCUAUUAUUGGGUCUAAAGGGUCCGUAGCCGGUUUGGUAAGUCCUUUGGGAAAUCUGGUUGCUUAACAAUCAGACUGCCAAGGGAUACUGCUGAACUUGAGACCGGGAGAGGUAAGAGGUACUUCAGGGGUAGGAGUGAAAUCAUGUGAUCCCUGGGGGACCAUCUGUGGCGAAGGCGUCUUACCAGAACGGGUCUGACGGUGAGGGACGAAAGCUGGGGGCGCAAACCGGAUUAGAUACCCGGGUAGUCCCAGCCGUAAACGAUGCUCGCUAUGUGUCAGGUACGGUGCGACCGUAUCUGGUGCCGUAGGGAAGCCGUGAAGCGAGCCACCUGGGAAGUACGGUCGCAAGACUGAAACUUAAAGGAAUUGGCGGGGGAGCACUACAACGGGUGGAG